AGUGAACGCUGGCGGUAGGCCUAACACAUGCAAGUCGGACGGCAGCACAGUAAGAGCUUGCUCUUACGGGUGGCGAGUGGCGGACGGGUGAGGAAUACAUCGGAAUCUACUUUUUCGUGGGGGAUAACGUAGGGAAACUUACGCUAAUACCGCAUACGACCUACGGGUGAAAGCAGGGGAUCUUCGGACCUUGCGCGAUUGAAUGAGCCGAUGUCGGAUUAGCUAGUUGGCGGGGUAAAGGCCCACCAAGGCGACGAUCCGUAGCUGGUCUGAGAGGAUGAUCAGCCACACUGGAACUGAGGCACGGUCCAGACUCCUACGGGAGGCAGCAGUGGGGAAUAUUGGACAAUGGGCGCAAGCCUGAUCCAGCCAUACCGCGUGGGUGAAGAAGGCCUUCGGGUUGUAAAGCCCUUUUGUUGGGAAAGAAAAGCAGCAGGUUAAUACCCCGCUGUUCUGACGGUACCCAAAGAAUAAGCACCGGCUAACUUCGUG
rnacentral:rRNA from 1 species